rnacentral:rRNA from 2 species
UCUGAAUGGAAGGGCCAUCGCUCAACGGAUAAAAGGUACUCCGGGGAUAACAGGCUGAUACCGCCCAAGAGUUCAUAUCGACGGCGGUGUUUGGCACCUCGAUGUCGGCUCAUCACAUCCUGGGGCUGAAGUAGGUCCCAAGGGUAUGGCUGUUCGCCAUUUAAAGUGGUACGCGAGCUGGGUUUAGAACGUCGUGAGACAGUUCGGUCCCUAUCUGCCGUGGGCGCUGGAGAACUGAGGGGGGCUGCUCCUAGUACGAGAGGACCGGAGUGGACGCAUCACUGGUGUUCGGGUUGUCAUGCCAAUGGCACUGCCCGGUAGCUAAAUGCGGAAGAGAUAAGUGCUGAAAGCAUCUAAGCACGAAACUUGCCCCGAGAUGAGUUCUCCCUGAGACUUUAGGUCUCCUGAAGGAACGUUGAAGACGACGACGUUGAUAGGCCGGGUGUGUAAGCGCAGCGAUGCGUUGAGCUAACCGGUACUAAUGAACCGUGAGGCUUAACCUU